rnacentral:lncRNA from 1 species
AGUACGGAAUAAAAGAAAUUCGAUAACAUCUCUUUGACGUUGUUCACAAAAGUACAAACAUACUGACUUUCGACAUCAGUUUCAUACCAAUCACAAAAUCGAUAUCUCACUAAAUUGACGUAACAUUGUUUGCCGUUGCUCCACUGUAUCGCAAUUGUAUGUGUACAGCAAACGUCGGCGUAGACGGUCGCUAAAGUUCAAAGUAAUUUCGGGACGCGCGGCAAAACAUUUAGCACAGAUUCCUUAGCGUCCAUUGACGAUCCCGGAAACACGUCCGUGGCAUUGUUUGAGUUUCGAUUUGAACGCGGUCCAAUAUGUACCGUGUGGUACAUACUGGUCUAUAUUAGCUUCUCAUUUGCCUGGUACACGCGAUGUUACCGAGAAACCGGCCAAUUAAAUUAACUAAUAAUACGCGUCGUAAUCACCUUACGUCGCGCGCCGCGCCGUUCGAUCGAUUACCAAUUAUAUACCAGUGAUGCGUCGCGAUAAAUUAACACGGGCCAAUUUAAGUAUCGAGAAUCGUGUAAAAAUAUAAUUAAUGAACAUUGUCAAAAGAAUUAUCAUAAUUAAUUUCGGAUAUUGGCUAACCGCGUGAUUAAAUUUUACAAUCUGUGCAAAAGUAACUUCACCAGAUAUUCGUAAUCUCCGAAUACAAUCGAAGGGGACAACUUUUUAUUGAGAAUCGGAAUUACCCUCCUCUCGUCAUGCGUAUAACUUUCCAAAGUUACUAAUUUAGUGAGAUUUCUGCUUCACUCCGCUGCACACUGCGCCCACUCAGACCGCAUGCUGGAAAAUCUGAAAGUAGCAUCCUCGUUUUAAAUCUGAUUGCGUGGAACAUUCAGGUAGGAUGAGCCAGAUUACACCGCGACGUAAGACCCGAGUUAUUACUCCCGAUUUUAUAUCGCGUAGAAUUUUCAGAUAAAAUGAAAAAGUCAUAAGACGCAUUAGGGGAGGGAGUUAACGGUGACACGGUAACGUCUACCUCGGAUAUCCGGCUAGGUGUGCUUCGCGACCUCGUCGUUCGCGAGUCUCAACUUGAACCCAAGCCAAUUUGCGGGCCGCUGUUUUGUCCUUCAGAACACAGCGAAUCGCGUCGUAAGGACGAUCGUUACGGCGAUUCACGAUAAAAUCCUUAUUCCACGGCUCACCGCCGUCGUCGUUAAGAAAGAGAGAGAGAGAGAGAGAGAGAGAAGCGAAAUCGCUUUCUUAAAUAUUAUUUGCCCCGAAGCGUUCUAUUAUUCCACGCGAGACAGUGUGAGCAUCGUCCACGUAUUUUAGGAAUGCACUUAGACAGAAUUAAGAUAUAUUGUUAUUAAGCAUAAAACUACUUAUCAUCUACGGAAUGCACUUACAGAGGAUUAGAGAUAUACUCCUAAUGUAUAUUUUCCAUUAUUCUGUUUUUAAGAAAUACUUUACAUUGUUCUCCUCUGAGUGUAUGGAAUUUCCCUUUUUUUCUAGUAAACAUAAUACGUCAUUUUACCCAUAUAAAUAGGGCACCCUUCGACGACAGAGUCAGUUCUCUCAGUUAAUAGUUCACAGUACGUAGUACUCAGAAUCACGUAGUUAUAAGUAAUAAUUGUAAAAAUUUGUGAAAUAAAGUUUUUUUUAUAAGAAGAAAAA